rnacentral:rRNA from 1 species
UGGGGAAUAUUGCACAAUUGGCGCAAGCCUGAUGCAGCCAUGCCGCGUGUAUGAAGAAGGCCUUCGGGUUGUAAAGUACUUUCAGCGGGGAGGAAGGGAGUAAAGUUAAUACCUUUGCUCAUUGACUGUACCCGCAGAAGAAGCACCGGCUAACUCCGUGCCAGCAGCUGCGGUAAUACGGAGGGUGCAAGCGUUAAUCGGAAUUACUGGGCGUAAAGCGCACGCAGGCGGUUUGUUAAGUCAGAUGUGAAAUCCCCGGGUUCAACCUGGGAACUGCAUCUGAUACUGGCAAGCUUGAGUCUCGUAGACGAGGGUAGAAUUCCAGGUGUAGCGGUGAAAUGCGUAGAGAUCUGGAGGAAUACCGGUGGCGAAGGCGGCCCCCUGGACGAAGACUGACGCUCAGGUGCGAAGGCGUGGGGAGCAAACAGG